GUGAAGCUGCUGGCAGUUUGCUGUACUGCCUGUGAUGAUGAUUCAGCAGUGAGCAGCAAGCAAUCACUUAUGGCAGGCUAAAUUAACCCCAAUGAGCACAGCAGCUAAUGCGGUCCACUGGGGUGAAAUGGCUGUAGAGGUUUAAACUGUGCCUUGGCCCUGGACCAAAAGGACUACCAGAGAGAAUGUGAUGUGAUGUGUGUGUCUUAUGCUGAUGGGUGCUUGAUGAUUCCUUUGCAGUUUCAGAAGCUUCUCUGCACUGGAGUUUUUUUUACUCAGGCUGAUGUUCCCAGAGUCAGAACCUUAUUGAAGACACAUGUAUGGCUUUCUGCUACUCUGUCCACCUCUGAAUAACCUUAUUUUAUAAAGAAUUCUCAAUGUUAAAGCUUACUGCAUAGUUCAGUCACAGAUGUAAAGGCAUUGAGUGGUUUGAUGUGAAAUGAUUCAUUAUAUAACAUAGGUGCUCCUUCCUGGUCCUGGAGAGUUCAGCUUCAACACACCUGGCCCUUGUAUUCAGAUGCUGCUGAAGGCCUUCAUUAACCAGAUCAGGUGUGUUUGGUUAGAGGUGGAACUAAGUGGUGUAUGGUGGUAGGUCUCCAGUACCAGGAUUAGGCAGCUCUGUUAUAGAGGUACUUACUGACCCUUUAUAGUGGUGAGAGGAAUUGAGGGCUGAGACAUCUACAGUGCAGAAGUAGUGAUUUUAUUUGCUAUGGUAAACCACUAGUGAACCUGCAAGGCCUGAGCUUUUAUGUAAUGAUGAAGGUAUGGUAAAUUUUUUGGACUAUCUAGCCUUGCAGUGCCUUGUAUGUAUUUCUCUGCCUUGAGUAGACUACAUUUUAGGCAGAGUCCUUCUGGAAACUGUUGUAAUGCAGUGUUAUCAGGCAAUUUUGAAUUUGAUGUAAUACCGAUACCAAUUUAUACCACCACUGCUGCGAAUGACUUGAAUAUCUCAAGUGGUGUUUCACAUCAAGAUGUACUGAAUGAUUAACAGUAAUUAUGCAGGAAUGUGGAGAAAUCAGAAUUUCUAAUGUUCGUUAUUGGAUCGGAUCAGAUUCACACCAGCAAUCGCUGCAUUCAAAACAAGAUGUAGGUGAGUUCAGUGGUCCUGUUUGGGAUCAAUGCGAGACUUGAACCAUUUUCUCCCAUUCCUGAAAAUGUGGCUCCUGAGAAAUAAAAACCCUCAGGUUUUCUCACUUUGAUCACACACAUCGAUGAACUCGCCUCACCCCAGUCCCCAGUAUUUCCAUAAUGAAAGCGAGUUCAGGUUUAUGUAGCCCCGUCACAGAACCUUCAGCAGAGGGUCGGUGUAAGAACCCAAUUUUCUUAGGUCACCAGAAUGUCUCACAAUGAGAUGUUUCUUCCCCUGUUGAGUCUUGUAAGAGCCAAGAAACCAGUGAUGCUUCAUUAGUACAAUAUUGAGAUCUGCUUUAUUACUGAGUUUUAAAACCUCUUCUGGGGUGUUUGAGGUGUGAACUUCAACCUACUUGGACCUGCAUCUUGAGCUACAGUGAUGAGUGCCUUGUGAAGACCAGACCAGGCCUGUGAGAAGCAGCUCAGCUGCCUUGUGUGCACUUUUCCAAAUAAAGGCUUUUCUGUGUUGUC